rnacentral:rRNA from 1 species
UGCAGUCGAGCGGACAGAUGGGAGCUUGCUCCCUGAUGUUAGCGGCGGACGGGUGAGUAACACGUGGGUAACCUGCCUGUAAGACUGGGAUAACUCCGGGAAACCGGGGCUAAUACCGGAUGGUUGUUUGAACCGCAUGGUUCAGACAUAAAAGGUGGCUUCGGCUACCACUUACAGAUGGACCCGCGGCGCAUUAGCUAGUUGGUGAGGUAACGGCUCACCAAGGCGACGAUGCGUAGCCGACCUGAGAGGGUGAUCGGCCACACUGGGACUGAGACACGGCCCAGACUCCUACGGGAGGCAGCAGUAGGGAAUCUUCCGCAAUGGACGAAAGUCUGACGGAGCAACGCCGCGUGAGUGAUGAAGGUUUUCGGAUCGUAAAGCUCUGUUGUUAGGGAAGAACAAGUGCCGUUCAAAUAGGGCGGCACCUUGACGGUACCUAACCAGAAAGCCACGGCUAACUACGUGCCAGCAGCCGCGGUAAUACGUAGGUGGCAAGCGUUGUCCGGAAUUAUUGGGCGUAAAGGGCUCGCAGGCGGUUUCUUAAGUCUGAUGUGAAAGCCCCCGGCUCAACCGGGGAGGGUCAUUGGAAACUGGGGAACUUGAGUGCAGAAGAGGAGAGUGGAAUUCCACGUGUAGCGGUGAAAUGCGUAGAGAUGUGGAGGAACACCAGUGGCGAAGGCGACUCUCUGGUCUGUAACUGACGCUGAGGAGCGAAAGCGUGGGGAGCGAACAGGAUUAGAUACCCUGGUAGUCCACGCCGUAAACGAUGAGUGCUAAGUGUUAGGGGGUUUCCGCCCCUUA